GAUGAAGAACGUAGCGAAAUGGGAUACGUAGUGUGAAUUGCAGAAUUCAGUGAAUCAUCGAAUCUUUGAACGCACAUUGCGCCCUUUGGUAUUCCAAAGGGCAUGCCUGUUCGAGCGUCAUUUGUACCCUCAAGCUUUGCUUGGUGUUGGGCGUCUUGUCUCCAGUCCGCUGGAGACUCGCCUUAAAGUCAUUGGCAGCCGGCCUACUGGUUUCGGAGCGCAGCACAAGUCGCACUCUUUUCCAGCCAAGGUCAGCGUCCAACAAGCCUUUUUUCAACUUUUGACCUCGGAUCAGGAAGGGAUACCCGCUGAACUUAAGCAUAUCAAUAAGCGGAGGA
rnacentral:misc_RNA from 1 species